AGAGGACCCUCAGUAAGCAUAGUACCAGCAAAGUUGGCAGCACAUAUAGUAGGAGAUGACUGAGCAUGAGAAGUCUGAGCAGUGGAUUCACCCAAAUUGGACUGUUGGAGCAGAUUCAUCAACUGAUCAUAAUGAUGUCUGCUCAACCCAGGAAUAGCAGAAUUACGUCCAUCCACAUGCUGGACAGGAGAACGACCCUCAAUUUCAAAAGCAGGAGAAUCAUGGCUAGUAGAAUAAGGAGAGGAUGUGAAGUCAACACCAGUAGUGACAUGAGCAGCAGUGGGUCUCUUGGCUUUGUUAAACCUGAUACUUUGAGGAAAACCAUGAAGCUUGAAGCACUUAUCAAUUAAGUGUCCAGACUUCUUGCAAUAUCUGCAGAAUAAGGGUCCUUUGGAGUCUGGACUGAUCAAAACUAACUCUCUGGGCAUACUGUCUGGGAGGAGGAGAGUUGAGCAAGGGAGCUGGAUUGAAGGAAGGUUUAGUAUUGAUAGUGAAGGACAUAGAAUCAGGAUAUAACUCUCUGGGCAUACUGUCUGGGAGUAGGAGAGUUGAGCAAUGGAGCUGGAUUGAAGGAAGGUUUAGUAUUGACAGUGAAGGACAUAGAAUCAGGAUUGAACUGGGAGACAGACUGAACUUGUCUCUAUUUUUCAUCAUUGAGGAGAAUGUUAUUGACAUUGUCAAGACUAGGAGGAGGUUGCAUCAUUAACAGGUUGCUCCUCACCCCCAUAUAUGUCUCAUUAAGACCAUAAGGAAUUGAAAUACCUUAUUCUCCUCAUCCUCCUUUAUAAUGCUAGAUCUGGCAUCACAGCUACAUCUCUGUCCAUGAUUUGGGCACAUUGUCCCUAACUCAUCCCAUAACCCUUUGAGUUUGUUGAAAUAGGAGGCUAUAUCUAGGGGUCCUUGAGAAGAAUGGGUAAGUUCACGUUUCAAUUCAAAAAAUUUGUUCCUAUUGGCUGUGCCAUAUCUGGCUUCAUGUUGUGACCAUAUAACCUAGGCAGUCUCAGAGUAUUGAACACUUUCAGCAAUUUGAGGGGACAGAGUGGUAGUCAACCAGGAGAUGACCAUGUUAUUGCAUAUGUCACAUAGUCUCUGUUCAGUCAGAUUAGUGGUUGAUCUAGAAGAAGAUCCAUCAACAAAAGCAAUCUUGUUUUUAGCAGUUAAGGCGACUAUCUCCUUUCUCCUCCAACCCCCAUAGCCAUUACCCCAGAAGGGGAUAGGAACAAGAGAAAUUCCGGAGACAUCAAAAGAGUAAACAAAUAGGGGAUUUGUUGGGUCAAUAGGUGGGGGAUUAACAGGGUUCACAUUAACAGGGUUCACAUCCGCCAUCGGAUACAGGAUAAUAGAGGCGAGAAAGGAGAGAUACAAUAACUAUGAACUACACAAUACAGCAACAAAGGUACAUGCAAGCCCUAAUUUAGUGGAAUAAUAGGGUUACCAGGCUUCUACGCAACCGGAGAAGAUACGGCCUUCAAAGAAUUGCAGAGAAACCCCAGCAUGUGAAGAAAACCCUAGCUUUGGUUGUCAGAAAACCCGAACUUGCAGAAAACCCGGUAGAAUCAGGUACAAGAGAUGUCGGAAAAUCACCCUAACAUCUCGUUGAAAGAAUCAACACAAAAUAACUCCGAUUUCACCAAAAAUCAAAGAAAAACUCCAGAAUCUUCACCGUUAAAAAAAACAGAAAUCAGCACCAAAAACGCCAUGAACUCAGACCAAAAGAUCGGGGAAGAUAGAGAAUAUGUCCAGGAGAAAUAUCCAGGCUCUUAUACCAUGAAAACAUGGUGAAUCGAAGUUAAAUCAAAGCUGGGAAGAGGUAAAAUAGAGAGAGAAAGUAGAGAGAGAAGAGAGAGAAAUGUUCUCUGUAUUGAAAAUGAAAAUGAACCGACUGAGCUCUUCUCGAUCCUUCUGACCCUAUAUCAACGUGGGUCAGAAAUUACAAUUGGGCCGAUUCUAACCCGAAUGGGAACAAGCCCAAUACUAAAUACAUAAGCGAGCCCACGGGGAAGAUAGAGAAUAUGUCCAGGAGAAAUAUCCAGGCUCUUAUACCAUGAAAACAUGGUGAAUCGAAGUUAAAUCAAAGCUGGGAAGAGGUAAAAUAGAGAGAGAAAGUAGAGAGAGAAGAGAGAGAAAUGUUCUCUGCAUUGAAAAUGAAAAUGAACCGACUGAGCUAUUCUCUAUCCUUCUGACCUUAUAUCAACGUGGGUCAGAAAUUACAAUUGGGCCGAUUCUAACCCGAAUGGGAACAAGCCCAAUACUAAAUACAUAACUAGCCCAAGUCUGUUAUACAUACAAUAUAUAUCAAUAUACA
rnacentral:lncRNA from 1 species